GCCCGCUUGGUGGAAUGGUAGACACAACAGACUUAAAAUCUGUCGGUCGAAAGGCCGUGCCAGUUCGAGUCUGGCAGCGGGCACCA
rnacentral:tRNA from 7 species